UACAUACUAGCCGAAUUGGUACAGGCGCUUGACUCAUAAGCAAGGUUAUGCAGGUUCAAAUCCUGCGUAUG
rnacentral:tRNA from 1 species